GGUUCAUGUUCACAAGGAUGGAUAGCAUUAAGAAAUAGCUGUUAUAAAAUGAGCAAAGAGAGUAUGCCAUGGAAUAUAGGCCAGCGACAUUGUAGGUUAUCCUUAAGUUCUGCACACCUCGUGGAUAUAAAAAAUGAAGAGGAAAAAAAAUUUAUAUUUUCACUUCUCAGGUCAAAGAAUCAAAUAAUUAUAUGGACUGGUCUUAAUGAUAUAAAGAAAGAAGGUCAUCUCACAUGGACAGAUGGAUCAUCUUUUGGCCUUAAGAAAAGUGAAAUCUUUUCUUUUCCACUGCUACCCAAGAAUGAAACAGAUUGCUACAUUUUACAGCAAAAUGCAACUGGAACAAACUAUUUCUUUACAAGAUUUUUCUGCUAUGUUCCAUUGCCAUAUAUUUGCAAAUAUGAAUCACCUUCUCUGCAGGAAAACCUUUUGAUCUAUAUAAAGGAUGUUGGAACAACUGAAGUUGUAUUUAGUUGGCAUAAUUUGAAUGCUUGGAAUAAUUUGAAUGAGUGGCUAAAACUGGGAUAUAAAAUUAUCAUCAAGUAUUAUUUAGAUUAUACAGAAGAACAAUAUUUUGAAAGCAUAUCCCCAAAUACUACAGAAAAAACAAUUACCCAGUUGUUUCCUGGCCAUAUUUACAGAUUUUUACUCUUUGCGAUAAACAAAUGGGAGGCAAAAACUAUGUUAAGUUCAGUAUUCGUUGUUGAAACACGCCCAUUAUCAGCUCAAAAUGUCACAAUUACUCGUGUGACCCCAACAGAAAUAUUUUUACACUGGAAUCCUCCAGAUCUUGUAUCUUUUCACCAUUAUCUUGUGACUAUUUUGGAUGUGGAAAACAAUAAAUCAGAAGAGGUGCUUGUUGAAAAACUCAACACAUCAAUGAAAAUCGGAGAUCUGAAAUCUUUCCAUCAUUAUCUGAUAUACCUAUUCAGUGUGGCAGAAAGAGGAACUUUAAGCUGCUCUGAGAGACCUAUUUCAGGUGUUACAGGUAUUAAUUCCUCCUCAGAAAGUUCAUGCUAAACCUGAAGAUGUGGGAGAGGACAGUAUAGUUCUUCAGUGGGAAUCCCCACCAGAUGGCCGAAGUCUACAUCAAAUCAAACCC
rnacentral:lncRNA from 1 species